GAACUAAAAUCCACAUUUUACUUUCACUUUCACAGCCUCGGUAGGCAAGGCUAUGAACCACAUAGUGUUUUAGCAUAUCUCAUUUGAACUUACUUUUAUUUACUAUAGAAAUAAACGAACGAACUAACAAAGAUGUCCAAACUUAAGCUUAUCCGAUUGUGCUUCUGGUUUUAUCUGGUGCGAACGGUGGUCUCCGAAGGUGAUCUUUAUCUUAAAGUGGGAGGUGAGCUCGUGUUGACGCCGGACAAGUCCACAGUGCCUGACUCCAUCAUAAGCAUCAUAUGGAAGCAUGGGAAGAACAAGGUGGCAGAGUGGGACAAGGAUUUUGGUGGUCUGGAUAUCUAUGGUGCCUUCAAAAACCACACAACCCUGGACAAUACUACUGGAGAGCUGAGAAUCAGUGGAUUGGAGAAAACAGACAGUGGAGUUUAUUCUGUGGAGUUCAACAGCAAACUGCUUCACAAGACAUAUACAUUAUCUGUUAUCAAGGCAGUCCCCAAACCCACCAUCACUUCUUCCUGUAACCCAGACAAAACCUCCUGCACUCUGACCUGUGAGGGUGACACCACUGAUGCUGAACCAGUCACCUACAGCUGGGAAGAGGGAGAGAGGGUGUCCAAGGUCUUAGACAAACAGCUAAGUGUCUCUGAAUCAACCAAUGGAAUCAAGUACACCUGCAAGCUGAGUAAUGCUGUUAGUUCGAAUGUCAGUGAGCCAGUUGGAGAGGUGUUUGGUCCAGAGCAUUCCAGUAUCGGUGCUGUUGUUGCUUUGGUUGUCGUUGCCAUUGUAGCGUUUGCUGUCAUAAUAGGAUUUUUGGUGUGGAAGAAAAAGACAGAAUAUCCCCAAGACACCUGGAUCGACUUUUUGAGAAUGUAUUGUGGUGGAAUUUAUGGUAGAAUUUGUGCUAAAGGCACCGAUGGAGUCCAGCCAGAACAAGGGAAAAGCAAUGCAGAUAAAGCUGAAAAGGGGCAGGGGGAUGAAGAUCUUUAUCUUAAAGUGGGAGGUGAGCUCGUGUUGACGCCGGACAAGUCCACAGUGCCUGACUCCAUCACAAGCGUCCUAUGGAAGCAUGAGAAGAGCUACGUGGCAGAGUGGGAAAAUGAAUUUGAUCGUCUGACCAUCUAUGGUGUCUUCAAAGGCCGCACAACCCUGAACCAGACUACUGGAGAGCUGAGAAUCAGUGGCUUGAAGAAAACAGACAGUGGAGUUUAUUCUGUGGAGUUCAACAGAAAACUUCUUGAUAAGACAUAUAAAAUAUCUGUUAGCAGGGGCGAUGAUGAGACUACAAUGAAUGGCAGCGCUGCACCAGGGGGCGACCUUGACGCCACUGAAAAAGGAGAGGCAAAUGGAGAGGGGUCCGUGCUGCUGAAAGAAGACACGGUGAAGUACGACAAUGGAAAGGGGGAAACAGAAGAGAAUUCAACAUUGUAGGACGGACGCCAGGGAACUGUGGACCAGAGGCACCGUCUCAUCUUGACCACCAGCACUGGACGACAUGGGUGACCCUCUGAGAUGCCACUCCAUUGAAGUAGAAAGACCACCAGUAAAGAAUCCAGUAUUUUAGGAUGCUAGUGGUCUUCCUGGUGGGGUAACUGAGGACCAGAAACAUGGGGUUUGAAGGCUCUCAGUACAUGACUCCAUAUCUGUUACAUUGAGACAAAUGACCAAGAAGAGAGAAACAUGUUUGAACUGUUGGAGAUGUUUUUAAUGAAAUGUACAUUUAAAAUGAAGGAAAACAACAGGCGAACGUUGCACAAAGUAACAUGCAUUCAAUCAGAUGAAGUACAGUGAGCUACAAAAGUAUUGGCACCGACAUCUUUAGCUGUUUUGGCUCUGUACUCCAGCACUUUAGAUUUAAAAUUAUACAAUGACUAUAAAGUUAAAGUACAGACUGACAGCUUUGAUUUGAGGGUAUUUUCAUCCAUAUCAGUUGAGCCGUUUAGAAAUUACAGCACUUUUGUACAUAGUCCCCCCAUUUUAGGGGACCUAA